AUCCUCGUAGCUCAGCUGGUAGAGCAACUCCCUCCUAAGGAGUAGGUCGUGCGUUCGAAUCGCAUCGAGGGUU
rnacentral:tRNA from 1 species